rnacentral:lncRNA from 1 species
UUUAUUUUAUGUGAAAACAAAUACUAUUAUUCUUAUUUAAAAUUUCUAAUAAAUAUACUUAAAUAAAUUCUAAUUACUUUAGUUGAAUAAUUAACCUAGCAAAAAUAGUGAUCGAUUAUAAAUAGAAGCCGGAUAUAAAUUUGCUCAAACAAUUAAGUUGGGCACACUAAAAUGAUCAGCAUAAAAUAUACUUAUUGAAAAAAUACAGUGUUU